GACGAACGCUGGCGGCGUGCUUAACACAUGCAAGUCGAACGGAAAGGCCCCGCUUUUGUGGUGUGCUCGUGUGGCACAGGGGUGUGUCACACGUGUGUAACCUGCCCUUGAUUUUGGGAUAACUUCAGGAAACUGGGGAUAAUACCGGAUAGGAGCUCCUGCUGCGUGGUGGGGGUUGGAAAGUUUCGGCGGUUGGGGAUGGACUCGCGGACUAUCAGCUUGUUGGGGGGGUAGUGGCUUACCAAGGCUUUGACGGGUGGCCGGCCUGAGAGGGUGACCGGCAACAUGGGGACGGGAUUACGGCCCAGACCCCUAGGGGAGGCAGCAGGGGGGAAUAUGGCACAAGGGGGGGAGGCCGGAGGCAGCAACGCCGCGGGCGGGAUGACGGCCUUCGGGUGUAAAACCCCUUCCGCCUGGGACGAAGCGUGAGUGACGGUAAUGGGUAAAGAAGCACCGGCUAACUACGUG
rnacentral:rRNA from 1 species